GCAAACUUGGUCAUUUAGAGGAAGUACAAGUCGUAACAAGGUUUCCGUAGGUGAACCUGCGGAAGGAUCAUUAACAAAUCCAUGUGUUGUAUGAUGAUGAUGAUGUAUUCAUCAUACAAUAUAUAUAUGUGCGCCAGCAGCAUGCUGGAAUGCAAAAUAUUCAUGAUAUAGUGUAUUUUUCGUGUGAUAAUACAACAAAACAUACUUUUAACAAUGGAUCUCUUGGCUCUUGCAUCGAUGAAGAACGCAGC
rnacentral:misc_RNA from 1 species